UACGUAGGGGGCAAGCGUUGUCCGGAUUUAUUGGGCGUAAAGAGCUCGUAGGCGGUUUGGUAAGUCAGGUGUGAAAUCUCCACGCUCAACGUGGAGGGGCCACCUGAUACUGCCAUGACUGGAGUCCGGUAGAGGAGUGUGGAAUUCCUGGUGUAGCGGUGGAAUGCGCAGAUAUCAGGAAGAACACCCGUGGCGAAGGCGGCUCUCUGGAACGCAACUGACGCUGAGACGCGAAAGCGUGGGGAGCAAACAGG
rnacentral:rRNA from 1 species